GUGGGGAAUUUUGGACAAUGGGGGCAACCCUGAUCCAGCCAUGCCGCGUGAGUGAAGAAGGCCUUCGGGUUGUAAAGCUCUUUCGGCCGGAACGAAAUCGCGUACGUGAAUAACGUGCGUGGAUGACGGUACUGGAAGAAGAAGCACCGGCUAACUACGUGCCAGCAGCCGCGGUAAUACGUAGGGUGCGAGCGUUAAUCGGAAUUACUGGGCGUAAAGCGUGCGCAGGCGGUUCUGCAAGUCAGAUGUGAAAUCCCCGGGCUUAACCUGGGAACUGCGUUUGAAACUACGGAGCUAGAGUGCGGCAGAGGGGGGUGGAAUUCCACGUGUAGCAGUGAAAUGCGUAGAUAUGUGGAGGAACACCGAUGGCGAAGGCAGCCCCCUGGGCCGACACUGACGCUCAGGCACGAAAGCGUGGGGAGCAAACAGGAUUAGAAACCCGUGUAGUCC
rnacentral:rRNA from 1 species